rnacentral:rRNA from 1 species
CCUACGUGUGGCAGCAGUGGGGGAUAUUGCACAAUGGGGGGAACCCUGAUGCAGCGACGCCGCGUGGGUGAAGGAGCGUUUCGGCGCGUAAAGCCCUAUCGGCAGGGAAGAAAAUGACGGUACCUGAUUAAGAAGCCCCGGCUAACUACGUGCCAGCAGCAGCGGUAAUACGUAGGGGGCAAGCGUUAACCGGAUUUACUGGGUGUAAAGGGAGCGUAGACGGCAGCACAAGUCUGGAGUGAAAUGCCGGGGCUUAACCCCGGAACUGCUUUGGAAACUGUGCAGCUAGAGUGCAGGAGAGGUAAGUGGAAUUCCUAGUGUAGCGGUGAAAUGCGUAGAUAUUAGGAGGAACACCAGUGGCGAAGGCGGCUUACUGGACUGUAACUGACGUUGAGGCUCGAAAGCGUGGGGAGCAAACAGGAUUAGAUACCCGGGUAGUC